AUUGAACGCUGGCGGCAGGCCUAACACAUGCAAGUCGAGCGAGCGGCGGACGGGUGAGUAAUGUAUGGGGACUGCCCGAUAGAUGGGGAUAACUACUGGAAACGGUAUCUAAUACCGCAUACUAUCCGAUAACCCAUAUGGGAUUAGCUAGUAGGUGAGGUAAUGGCUCACCUAGGCGACGAUCCCUAGCUGGUCUGAGAGGAUGAUCAGCCACACUGGGACUGAGACACGGCCCAGACUCCUACGGAGGCAGCAGUGGGGAAUAUUGCACAAUGGGCGCAAGCCUGAUGCAGCCAUGCCGCGUGUAUGAAGAAGGCCUUAGGGUUGUAAAGUACUUUCAGUAGGGAGGCGGUACCGACAGAAGAAGCCCCGGCUAACUCCGUGCCAGCAGCCGCGGUAAUUC
rnacentral:rRNA from 1 species